rnacentral:rRNA from 1 species
UAGGGAAUCUUCCGCAAUGGGCGAAAGCCUGACGGAGCAACGCCGCGUGAGUGAUGAAGGUCUUCGGAUCGUAAAACUCUGUUAUUAGGGAAGAACAAAUGUGUAAGUAACUAUGCACGUCUUGACGGUACCUAAUCAGAAAGCCACGGCUAACUACGUGCCAGCAGCCGCGGUAAUACGUAGGUGGCAAGCGUUAUCCGGAAUUAUUGGGCGUAAAGCGCGCGUAGGCGGUUUUUUAAGUCUGAUGUGAAAGCCCACGGCUCAACCGUGGAGGGUCAUUGGAAGCUGGAAAACUUGAGUGCAGAAGAGGAAAGUGGAAUUCCAUGUGUAGCGGUGAAAUGCGCAGGGAUAUGGAGGAACACCAGUGGCGAAGGCGACUUUCUGGUCUGUAACUGACGCUGAUGUGCGAAAGCGUGGGGAUCAAACAGG